UCCUGACUGACCGAUAGUGAACCAGUACCGUGAGGGAAAGGCGAAAAGAACCCCGGCGAGGGGAGUGAAAAAGAACCUGAAACCGUGUACGUACAAGCAGUGGGAGCACGCUUAGGCGUGUGACUGCGUACCUUUUGUAUAAUGGGUCAGCGACUUAUAUUCUGUAGCAAGGUUAACCGAAUAGGGGAGCCGAAGGGAAACCGAGUCUUAACUGGGCGUUAAGUUGCAGGGUAUAGACCCGAAACCCGGUGAUCUAGCCAUGGGCAGGUUGAAGGUUGGGUAACACUAACUGGAGGACCGAACCGACUAAUGUUGAAAAAUUAGCGGAUGACUUGUGGCUGGGGGUGAAAGGCCAAUCAAACCGGGAGAUAGCUGGUUCUCCCCGAAAGCUAUUUAGGUAGCGCCUCGUGAAUUCAUCUCCGGGGGUAGAGCACUGUUUCGGCAAGGGGGUCAUCCCGACUUACCAACCCGAUGCAAACUGCGAAUACCGGAGAAUGUUAUCACGGGAGACACACGGCGGGUGCUAACGUCCGUCGUGAAGAGGGAAACAACCCAGACCGCCAGCUAAGGUCCCAAAGUCAUGGUUAAGUGGGAAACGAUGUGGGAAGGCCCAGACAGCCAGGAUGUUGGCUUAGAAGCAGCCAUCAUUUAAAGAAAGCGUAAUAGCUCACUGGUCGAGUCGGCCUGCGCGGAAGAUGUAACGGGGCUAAACCAUGCACCGAAGCUGCGGCAGCGACGCUUAUGCGUUGUUGGGUAGGGGAGCGUUCUGUAAGCCUGCGAAGGUGUGCUGUGAGGCAUGCUGGAGGUAUCAGAAGUGCGAAUGCUGACAUAAGUAACGAUAAAGCGGGUGAAAAGCCCGCUCGCCGGAAGACCAAGGGUUCCUGUCCAACGUUAAUCGGGGCAGGGUGAGUCGACCCCUAAGGCGAGGCCGAAAGGCGUAGUCGAUGGGAAACAGGUUAAUAUUCCUGUACUUGGUGUUACUGCGAAGGGGGGACGGAGAAGGCUAUGUUGGCCGGGCGACGGUUGUCCCGGUUUAAGCGUGUAGGCUGGUUUUCCAGGCAAAUCCGGAAAAUCAAGGCUGAGGCGUGAUGACGAGGCACUACGGUGCUGAAGCAACAAAUGCCCUGCUUCCAGGAAAAGCCUCUAAGCAUCAGGUAACAUCAAAUCGUACCCCAAACCGACACAGGUGGUCAGGUAGAGAAUACCAAGGCGCUUGAGAGAACUCGGGUGAAGGAACUAGGCAAAAUGGUGCCGUAACUUCGGGAGAAGGCACGCUGAUAUGUAGGUGAAGUCCCUUGCGGAUGGAGCUGAAAUCAGUCGAAGAUACCAGCUGGCUGCAACUGUUUAUUAAAAACACAGCACUGUGCAAACACGAAAGUGGACGUAUACGGUGUGACGCCUGCCCGGUGCCGGAAGGUUAAUUGAUGGGGU
rnacentral:rRNA from 1 species